GUUUCCUGUGGCCUCCCUGGAAGCUGAGCAGAUUCCAUCAUCAUGCUUCCUGUACAGUCUGCAGAACCAUGAGCCAAUUAAGCCUCUUUUCUUUAUAAAUUACCCAGUCUGAGGUACUUCUUUAUAGCACUGCAAGAAUGGACUAAUACGCUAUGUGAAGACAAAGGGGAUGUCUGCAAGCCAGGACGAGUGCGUCUACCAGAAACUGAGUUCUGCUGGACUUUGAUCUAGGACAUCCAGCCUCCAGAAUGGAAUGUGCCAUAUGUGGAGACCUGCAUGGAAAGGAACUGAGGAUGCUCUCUCACUAAAAGCUAGAAGGAACUGAGGCCCUCAGUCAACAGUCUACAAGACACUGAAUCUUGCCAGCAGCCAAGCAGUGAGCUUGAAAGCAGAUCUAUCAUCAGCUGAACCUUCAGAUGAGACCGCAGCCUAAGCAGAUACCUUGGUUGCAGCCAUGUGAGACAACCUGAAACAGAGGGCACAGCUAAGCCUCAGCCAGGUUCAUGACCCUCUGAGGAAACUAUGGAGAGAGGGGAACCCGAGUCAAGGAAUGCAAAUGGCCUCUGGAAGCUGGAAAAAGCAAGAAAUGGAUUCUCCUUUAGAGCCUGUGGAAUAAAAUGCAGUCAUGCUGACACCUUGAUUUUACCUCAGUGAGACCAAUACUGGAGUAUGACCUUCGGAGCUGAAUAAAAUUAUACGUACACAUCUUAAUUUCUUGGGAUUUGAUUACUUCUUCUGCUUUGAAAUUAGACCAAGUUUAGCCUGCCUUUGCUAUUUUGGCGUAUCUCCAAUUCUUCAUGAUUUUCUCAUCGCAAAGGCCACAUAAGGACAGUGAGAAGGCAGCCACCUGCAAGCCAGGAAGAAAGGUCUCACCAGAUACCAACCCUGCCAGCAUGUUGAUCUUGGACUUCCAGCCUCCAAAACUGGCCUUCUGCUCACAUGGGCUUCCGUGCACCUGCUUCAGGAGACAGCAACACUUGCGCCCGCACCGCGGCAGGCUCCCAUCACCUGGUGGAUAUGCCGCGCCGAGUCUCAUCACACCUUAGUGAAGGAACACAUGGACCCAUAUGUUAGCGGAUGUAUUUACAUCGUUUUAUACAGAAAGGGGAAAUGGAGUCUUGCUCUGUCACACAUGCUAGAGUCCAGUGGUAUGACCUCAGCUCACUGCAAUCUCUGCCUCCCGGGUUCAAAUGAUUCUUCUGCCUUGACCUCCCUGGCAGCUGGGACUACAGGCCUGCACCACCACGCCUGGCAAAUUUUUUAAUUUUUUUUAGUAGAGAUGGGGUUUCACCAUGUUGGCCAGGCUAGUCUCGAACUCCUGACCUCAAAUGAUCUGCCCGCUUUGGCCUUCCAAAGUUCUGGGAUUAUAGGAGUGAGCCACCAUGCCCAGCCUGUUCUUAAGUCUCCUAGAACAGGGAUUCUGAAACACAAAACUCAUCUGGUGAGAAGAAUGAGAGCAAGAGAGGUUAAAUGGGUCGUUCAAGUUCAUAAAGUACUGACAGAAGAUGACCCUGAACUGUUCUCACUAUAUUAAAAGUCAGACAAGUAUUAUUAUUAUUAUUACUAAUAUAAGUAGCUCCAAUUUAUGUGAUUCUCAUGAUUUGGAGGACCUUACCUAUAUUAGCUUAUUUAAUCUACACAGCAAACCUAGAUGGUAAAUAUUUUCAUUGCCAUUUUACAGAGGAGGAACUGAGGUUCCUGAGGGUUAGGAAACUUGUAACAUGAACUCCAUACAGAUAUACAGAAUGAUAUAAACAAAUAAACAAAUACAUAAAUGUGGAAGAAGUAAAAGCUCUUCCUUGGAGUAAAAGGCCACCUAAUAAAUGAGGCAGGAAUGAUAAAAUUAGAGAAAUCAUUUGCAAACAUCACAGUAUUAAUUGCUUAAAGGAAGAAUUAUAAAUAGAUAAUAAAGCUAGUGGGUGAAACAUUAAUGGGACUAAGAUAUUUAUCUAGCCCCAAAAGUUUUGCUCCAUAAAAAUACUUACUUAGGCUGGGCAUGGUGGUGCACACCUGUAAUUCUAGCACUUUGGGAGGCCGAGGUGGAAGGAUUACUUGAGCUUAAGAGUUCAAUGGCAGCCUGGACAACAUAGUGAGACCGCAUCUCUAAAAAAAAAAUUAGCCAGGUGUGGUAGUGCGUGUAUGUAUUCUCAGCUACUCAGGAGGCUGAGGUAGAAGGGAUCGCUUGAGCCCCAAGUUGAGGCCACAGUGAGCUGAGAUUGCACCACUGCACUCCAGCCUGGGUUACAGAGAGUGAUCCUGUCUCAACAAUAAAAUAAAAUAAAAUGAAAAAAAUAUUUAUUACAAAUGAAAAAAAUGACAUGUUUACACUGGAGAGGCCUACAGGCAUCAUCUUAACCAAUGAUCAAAGUUAAUAUCUACACGAAUAGGACAAAUAAUAUCAUUUCCCUCCUGACCUCAUGCAUGUUUAAAACACAACAUAACUUCUUGGUUAUUUCUGUCAAGAGUGCAUAACCUGAAACUAAUCAUAAGAAACCACCAGAUGACCCCACGAUGAGAGGUAUACUAAAAAAUAACUAAGCUAUUAUUUUAUUUUAUUUAUUUUUUGAGACAGAGUCUUGCUCUGUUGCCCAGGCUGGAGUGCAGUGGCGCAAUCUCAGCUCACUGCAACCUCAGCCUCCUGGGUUCAAGAGAUUCUCCUGCCUCAGCCUCCCAAGUAGCUGGGAUUACAGGCUUCUUUUUGUAUUUUUAGUAGAGAGGGGGUUUCACCAUGUUGGCCAGGCUGGUCUCAAACUCCUGACCUCAGGUGGUCCACCCACCUCGGCCUCCCAGUUUUGGGAUUAUAUGCGUGAGCCACUGCACUCAGCCACCAGACUUUUUUUUUUUUCUUUUUACUUUUUUUGAGACAGCAUCUCCCUCUGUCGCCCAGGCUGGAGUGCAAUGGCACAAUCUUGGCUCACUGCGACCUCCGCCUCCCAGGUUCAAGUGAUUCUCCUGUCUCAGCCUCCUGAGUAGCUGGAACUACAGGCGCCCGCCACCACGCCCGGCCAGUUUUUGUGUUUUUAGUGGAUAUGGGGGUUUCACCAUGUCGGUCAGGCUGGUCUCGAACUCCUCACCUCAGGUGAUCUGCCCGACUCAGCCUCCCAAAGUGCUGGGAUUAUAGAUGUGAGCCAUCGUGCCUGGCCUAUUUUGAAAGCAACAUAUAAUCCAACUUUUUCUUUUGUUAUAAAGAGCAAUAUAGGAACAAGGAGUGAAACACCAAGGCAAUUUGACAGUUAAAUGGUAGAAGUAGAUCAGUGUUAAUUUCCUGAUUUUGUAAUUAUACUGUGGUUAUGUAACAGAAUGUUCUUGUUUUAGAAAGUACACAUUGAAUAAUCAAUGGUCAUCUUGUCUGUAACUUAAUUUCAAAUGUUUCAAUAAAAAUAUGUGUAUGUUUGUGAGUGAUAAAACAAAU
rnacentral:lncRNA from 1 species